AAGAAAGUUCCUCAUGGUUUCCAAUGUUCUUGAAGAUUUGAGACUUUAAAAGAGAAAAAUCUCUUUGGUUUGCUAUGUUUUUAUAUGUUUGUUUCUACUGUUAUCUAUUGUUUUUGUGAGAAAAAGCUUUGUUCUGUCACUGUUGAGUUUGAUGUAAUGCUUGAGCUUGUUCAUGAUAGAACCUUUGUUCUCUCAAUAUUGAGUUUGAUGUAAUGCUUGAGCUUGUUAAUGGAUUUUAUGUUCUUAGUAUUUCUCC
rnacentral:lncRNA from 1 species